CAGGAAGCAGACACACAAGCACACAUACAGUAUGCACAGAACAAAAUGAAAACCGAGAGGAAAAGGAAUAUUUUAACUUGAGGAAGGAAAAUAAAGUCAGGUGCCAGAAGAGAGGACCCCAUCUAGAACAUCGAAUCUAUCUAGAACGUUUAGGUUCUGGACGACCUCUGCAGUAGUACUCAAGGUAAUCAAGGGAGUGAGGCAAAACAAAUGAAAAACAGAGACGGACAACCAGAUCAAAUGCCGAAAGAAGAAAGCCCAAGGUGAAAACUUUCCAUGUCAAUAUGCCGGCUGUCAACAGAUGAUGUGGCGGGCAUCGGGCGGCAGAAAAAGGUGUUCCCGGUGUGUUGACGAUGUCGGAAGUGUGUCGAUGAGUAAUGUCAUCUGACAGUUGAUGUUGGGUGAAGCGUACAGUAAUGGGGAGACAGAGGUCAGAGAAACCAUUACCACAGUGGGGGCGGAGAGGAAGGGGAAAUGAAAGUGGCAACUAUGGUGUUGUCUUCUCCAACUGUCGGGCGUGGCGGCUGCCCUUCUGCUGUGACUGAGAAUCUGGGCUGGCUACACAUUCAUUACAGAGUGAACUGACCCGACCAUCAUCAUUAAUCCAAGUCAGAGGUGAUAUGAAAUAAAAUGUUCCAUUGACUGUUGAGAAGGUUGAUUUUUGUUUCCCUAGGAUGUUCUGUUUGUCUUAUUGCCCUCUCUCUCCUUUACUAUUUUUUUCUUCUUCCACCAUCUGCAUCACUCAACUAUGUGAUGACAUUGAACUCCAUUCUAACAUAAGAAUCUAUUAGAUCAUUAUGAACGCACUGCAAUCCUUCUUGUACUGUGACGAUAAUCUGCUGAUUUAAAGCAGCGCAUUUGCAUUUAUUUUCUCAAUUCAAUUGAGAUAUGAGUUGAUCCCAGUAUUGUUCUACUGAUGCAUGGG